rnacentral:rRNA from 1 species
GAUGAACGCUGGCGGCGUGCCUAAUACAUGCAAGUCGAGCGAACGGACGAGAAGCUUGCUUCUCUGAUGUUAGCGGCGGACGGGUGAGUAACACGUGGAUAACCUACCUAUAAGACUGGGAUAACUUCGGGAAACCGGAGCUAAUACCGGAUAAUAUUUUGAACCGCAUGGUUCAAAAGUGAAAGACGGUCUGGCUGUCACUUAUAGAUGGAUCCGCGCUGCAUUAACUAGUUGGUAAGGUAACGGCUUACCAAGGCAACGAUGCAUAGCCGACCUGAGAGGGUGAUCGGCCACACUGGAACUGAGACACGGUCCAGACUCCUACGGGAGGCAGCAGUAGGGAAUCUUCCGCAAUGGGCGAAAGCCUGACGGAGCAACGCCGCGUGAGUGAUGAAGGUCUUCGGAUCGUAAAACUCUGUUAUUAGGGAAGAACAUAUGUGUAAGUAACUGUGCACAUCUUGACGGUACCUAAUCAGAAAGCCACGGCUAACUACGUG